UACAGAGGUCUCAAGCGUUGUUCGGAUUCAUUGGGCGUAAAGGGUGCGUAGGCGGCGCGGUAAGUCGGGUGUGAAAUCUCGGAGCUUAACUCCGAAACUGCAUUCGAUACUGCCGUGCUUGAGGACUGGAGAGGAGACUGGAAUUUACGGUGUAGCGGUGAAAUGCGUAGAUAUCGAGAGGAACACCUGCGGCGAAGGCGGGUUGCUGGGCUGACACUGACGCUGAGGCUCGAAAGCCAGGGGAGCGAACGGG
rnacentral:rRNA from 1 species